AACGUGCAACAACCUCAGUCAAUGGAGCGCAUCUCUACUACCCCAACUAAUUUUCUUUCUCCUAUACAGGUUCAGCAAAAUUCUUCAAUACCUUUUUUAGAAUUGGAGUCAUCUUUGCCCCCAAAUCCACCCAGUACUGAUGAUUGAAUCAGGAGUGACAGCAACUCCAACUCGCCUUCACCGCCAGCUGCCUCAUCUCAUCCUAUGGUGACAAGGCUGCGGGAUAGAACUUUGGCACGGCGUCAACUUCGGGUUGAUCACACUUAUGCCCUGCAAACCAAAGCUUCCUCAUUACCAACACCGACUUCCUUCACUCAAGCAAAUAAAGAUCCAGCAUGGCAAGCAGCUAUGAAUGAAGAAUACGCUGCCUUGAUGCACAAUCAGACGUAGACACUUGUACCUUCACCGAAACAGUGCAAACCCAUUGGUUGUAAAUGGGUAUUUCGAGUCAAGAUGAAUACUGACGGAUUCCUUGAAAGAUACAAGGCUCGGGAUGGCAACUUUGAUAAUUGGACGUGAAGAAUGCUUUUCUCAAUGGUCAUCUUGAAGAAGAAAUUUAUAUGCAGUAGCCUCCAGGCUUCAUUGACUCUACUCAUCCUCACCAUGUGUGCCGUCUUCAAUGUUUGCUUUAUGGACUAAAAUAGGCACCGCGUGCAUGGCACCAACGAUUAAGUUAUUUUCUUCUCUCUCUUGGGUUUCAAGUAUCUCGUGCUGACUCCUCUUUAUUUGUGCUUCACUCAGCAGCAUACGGUAUAUUUCUCUUGGUAUAUGCAGAUGAUAUAAUUUUAAUUGGGUUGCCCUCAGCGCCUUUAUCUACUCUAAUCGAAUCCCUAUAGCGAGAGUUUGCUAUUAUGGACCUCGACGAGCUCCAUUAUUUUCUCGGCAUUGAAUUGCAAAGAACCGACAAAGGUCUAUUGCUCCAUCAAGGCAAGUAUGCACACGACGUUCUUCAACGUACCAAUAUGCCGGAUGCUUGACCAGUCACGACUCCUUAUGUUACUGGUACAAACCCGCCUUUACUGCAACACGGAGCUUUAUUUCAUGAUCCUACCUUA